rnacentral:rRNA from 1 species
ACUCAAAUGAAUAGACGGGGGCCCGCACAAGCGGUGGAGCAUGUGGUUCAAUUCGACGCAACGCGAAGAACCUUACCUGGGCUCGAACGGCUGUGGACCAGCUGUGGAAACACGGCCUUCCCGCAAGGGACUGCAGUCGAGGUGCUGCAUGGCUGUCGUCAGCUCGUGUCGUGAGAUGUUGGGUUAAGUCCCGCAACGAGCGCAACCCUUGUCCAUUGUUGCCAUACUGUAAAAAGUGGAACUCGAUGGAGACCGCCAGCGACAAGCUGGAGGAAGGUGGGGACGACGUCAAGUCAUCAUGGCCUUUAUGUCCAGGGCUACACACGUGCUACAAUGGGCGGUACAAUGGGUCGCCAACCCGCGAGGGGGAGCCAAUCCCAAAAAGCCGUCCUUAGUUCGGAUUGCAGGCUGCAACUCGCCUGCAUGAAGCUGGAAUCGCUAGUAAUGGCACAUCAGAACGGUGCCGUGAAUACGUUCCCGGGCCUUGCACACACCGCCCGU